CCCCAUGCUGCCAGUCAUGUCUUACCCACUGAGGUUUCCCAUGCUGCCAGUCAUGUCUUACCCACUGAGGUUUCCCCCAUGCUGCCAGUCAUGUCUUACCCACUGAGGUUUCCCCCAUGCUGCCAGUCAUGUCUUACUCACUGAGGUUUCCCCCAUGCUGCCAGUCAUGUCUUACCCACUGAGGUUUCCCCCAUGCUGCCAGUCAUGUCUUACCCACUGAGGUUUCCCCCAUGCUGCCAGUCAUGUCUUACCCACU